CCUGAAUUACUUUACAUGGGGCGAUAGUAUAUACCCACAUAUAACACUAGAAGAAAAAAUUGCAUUCAAAUUCAGGUUGGUCUUCAUAUGGGACUCAUGUCCUGUUGACCAUACCUUCAAUCAUUGUUAUAUUUUUUGUAUGAUUGUAAAGUUGAUAAAUAAAAAAAAAAUAAUCUGCGUUUUCCGAAACCAAAGCUUAGUCCAAGCAAACAUCACUUUAUAACACAGCUUUCUGGAACAUCACUUUAUAACACAGCGCAAGUGGAAUAAAGAAUGCUACAAUCUUGUCCAACUUCAAGCAUCUGAUCCAAAAACAUUGUUUCUAGGCUUACACUAGCAUGAUAUUGAUAUUGUAAAUUUAUAAUUGGAUGGUAAAUGAACAUAUAUAAUUGUAGAUGAUGUUUUAAUUAAUGUGAUGGUAGUUAAAUUAUUUUGUUACUGUAACUAUUUUAUUAUAUGCAGGACGCCAAUGGAAAUUAAUGGAUAGCAACCAUUUUGCUGAUAGGCUACCCUGUUCAAAUACAAUGUAUCAGUAUUUAUCUAGAAAGCGGGAUGGGAGAGAAACACUCUCGGCGCGAGAGCACAAGUACGCGAAUAUUACCGAUACAAACUCAGCUUCACUAUCAGCACUACGCCAGAUAGAUAUAAAUUUAUUUAAAGGUGCAUACUGAAUAUUAUAUUGUUACAAAGAGAUCAUCGUUUAUCAUGUCAAGUUGAUCAUGUUAACUAUAAUUAUUAAAUCUUUGCAAACACCUUUCCAUUCACAUACACAAAGUCGUUGUUUCGAAUCCUGUUUUUUCUAUUUCGAGUCCGGGUUUUCAAAGUCAAGUCCAGGUUUUCUCAAAGACGAGUCUGCAUUUUUUUCAGGUCCGGGUUUUUCUCGAGUCCGGAUUUUCUUUUAGUCCGAGUCCGGGUUACGAAGUAUGCCCUUGCUAUUGCACACAACAAAACCACCGGUUACAUAAUAUAAUAAAAUCCCAAAAAUGUCCAUUUUACGAAUUUUAUAGACACAUACUAAAUUGAAAAUCAUUCCAAUUCUGCAAAAAUGUUAGAAAAAUUUUAAAACGCAACUGCGGAGAUAUUGGAAUAAUUAAAGCUGACGAAUAUUUUGCCGCCAGUAAUUGGCAUUGACAGCACUCAGCAAUCCAAGCGCGAUGUGAAUUUUGCACGCAAAUACGGCAUGCACAGACAAGUAUAUGAAGCGGAAUGUCCGAAAUUUGUUGUUCAAAAUGGUUUCGUUACCUUCGGUUUCAAAUUUUUCUUAAUUGCUUUCUUUUACUUUACCUUCGGCUGGCAAUGUUGAGCAAGGAGUUCUGAACUUUUCUGACGUGAUCUGAUCGAUUUUGCGCGCUUGUCCAAUAAAAGCUGACGAAUUUGAUUUCGAGUUCGUUCGUGGCAAAAAGAAGGAAAACUUUUAGGCCGCACUAAGACACUUGAAUUUUGUGGACACUCUUACGUUGGCGGCCACCUUAGAUUUUCAUUAAGCAUAUUUACACCCAAAUUCUGAGUGUUGAAAUCAGCCCAUUCCAGGGCCUUUUUCCUUCACCGCAUUUUCUAACCCUGCAUGCGAACGAAGUUGUUGCCUUUAAACGAC